rnacentral:rRNA from 1 species
UACGGGGGGGGUAAGCGUUGUUCGGAAUUACUGGGCGUAAAGGGCGCGUAGGCGGCCUACUAAGUCAGACGUGAAAUCCCCCGGCUUAACCUGGGAACUGCGUCUGAUACUGGAAGGCUUGAGUAUGGGAGAGGGAUGUAGAAUUCCAGGUGUAGCGGUGAAAUGCGUAGAUAUCUGGAGGAAUACCGGUGGCGAAGGCGGCAUCCUGGACCAUUACUGACGCUGAGGCGCGAAAGCUAGGGGAGCAAACGGG